rnacentral:rRNA from 1 species
GAUGAACGCUGACAGAAUGCUUAACACAUCAGCAAUUGAUUGGUGGCGGACGGGCGAGUAAUGCGUAAAGAACUUGCCUCACAGCUAGGGACAACAUUUGGAAACGAAUGCUAAUACCUAAUACUGUGAGAGAGCUUUGCGUCCCAUUAGCUAGUUGGAGAGGUAACGGCUCACCAAGGCGAUGAUGGGUAGCCGGCCUGGUAGGGUGAUCGGCCACAAGGGAACUGAGACACGUCCCUUACUCCUACGGGAGGCAGCAGUGGAGAAUAUUGGACAAUAGACCAAAGUCUGAUCCAGCAAUUCUGUGUGAACGAUGAAGUUUUCGGAAUGUAAAGUGCUUUCAGUUGGGAAGCGGUACCAACAGAAGAAGUAACGGCUAACUCCGUGCCAGCAGCCGCGGUAAUAC